UACGAAGGGGGCUAGCGUUGCUCGGAAUCCCUGGGCGUAAAGGGUGCGUAGGCGGGUCUUUAAGGCAGGGGUGAAAUCCUGGAGCUCAACUCCAGAACUGCCUUUGAUACUGAAGAUCUUGAGUUCGGGAGAGGUGAGUGGAACUGCGAGUGUAGAGGUGAAAUUCGUAGAUAUUCGCAAGAACACCAGUGGCGAAGGCGGCUCUCUGGGACGGUACUGACGCUGAGACGCGAAAGCGUGGGGAGCGAACAGG
rnacentral:rRNA from 1 species